AUUGAACGCUGGCGGCAUGCCUUACACAUGCAAGUCGAACGGCAGCACGGGUGCUUGCACCUGGUGGCGAGUGGCGAACGGGUGAGUAAUACAUCGGAACGUACCUUAUCGUGGGGGAUAACGCAGCGAAAGCUGUGCUAAUACCGCAUACGCCCUGAGGGGGAAAGCGGGGGAUCGCAAGACCUCGCGCGAUUAGAGCGGCCGAUGCCUGAUUAGCUUGUUGGUGGGGUAAAAGCCCACCAAGGCGACGAUCAGUAGCUGGUCUGAGAGGACGAUCAGCCACACUGGGACUGAGACACGGCCCAGACUCCUACGGGAGGCAGCAGUGGGGAAUUUUGGACAAUGGGGGCAACCCUGGUCCAGCAAUGCCGCGUGAGUGAAGAAGGCCUUCGGGUUGUAAAGCUCUUUUGUCAGGGAAGGAACACCGGCUCUAACACAGUCUGGGAAUGACGGUACCUGAAGAAUAAGCACCGGCUAACUACGUGCCAGCCGCCGCAGUAA
rnacentral:rRNA from 1 species